GUGAGGAAUAUUGGACAAUGGGCGCAAGCCUGAUCCAGCCAUGCCGCGUGCAGGAAGACGCAUCUAUGGUGUGUAAACUGCUUUUGUACGGGAAGAAACACUCCCUCGUGAGGGAGCUUGACGGUACCGUAAGAAUAAGGAUCGGCUAACUCCGUGCCAGCAGCCGCGGUAAUACGGAGGAUCCAAGCGUUAUCCGGAAUCAUUGGGUUUAAAGGGUCCGUAGGCGGUUUAAUAAGUCAGUUGUGAAAGCCCAUCGCUCAACGAUGGAACGGCCAUUGAUACUGUUAGACUUGAAUUACAAGGAAGUAACUAGAAUAUGUAGUGUAGCGGUGAAAUGCUUAGAUAUUACAUGGAAUACCAAUUGCGAAGGCAGGUUACUACUUGUGGAUUGACGCUGAUGGACGAAAGCGUGGGGAGCGAACAGGAUUAGAAACCCUUGUAGUCC
rnacentral:rRNA from 1 species